GUGCCAGCAGCCGCGGUAAAACGUAGGAGGCAAGCGUUAUCCGGAGUUACUGGGCGUAAAGCGUGUGUAGGUGGUUCAGCAAGUUCGGUGUGAAAGCUCCUGGCUUAACCGGGAGAGGACAUUGAAGACUGCUGGGCUAGAGGGUGGUAGAGGGGCGUAGAAUUCCGGGUGUAGCGGUGAAAUGUGUAGAGAUCCGGAGGAAUACCAGUGGUGCAGACGGCGCCCUGGGCCAUACCUGACACUGAGACACGAAAGCGUGGGGAGCGAACGGGAUUAGAGACCCCGGUAGUCCACGCCGUAAACGAUGCAAACUAGGUGCGCACGGUCCGCAAGGGCAGGGCGUGCCGCAGCCAACGCGCUAAGUUUGCCGCCUGGGGAGUACGGUCGCAAGGCUAAA
rnacentral:rRNA from 1 species